rnacentral:misc_RNA from 1 species
AAAAGGUUGAACAAGACAAGGAACUACCAGCAUUCUAGUCACUGAAAACAACUCCAUGAUGUUUUUGACAGCUGAGCAAAUUAGUAGGGAAUUCUACAUGCAAGAAUGAAUUUUUCACCAACACUUGAACACAAAUUUUUCAUUUAUAAUUCCAUUAAAAAUAUAUUUUAGAGCUCUUAGCAGCCUUGGUUCUUGAAAAUUGAUAUCGACUUGUGUCCCAGAAUUCCUGAAAUAAUGAUGGUAGUUCAAUGAUGAUUUAUUUUGCUAUGGUUAUAUAUUAAUAAGAGCAUUAUCUACAUUAUAUAGAACAACUCCGCCUAAGUAGUU